CGUUGCCAAGUUGCCAAGUUGUGUUAAGCCUCAGGGGGAAAUGAGGGGGGGUAGAGAGGGGCCGGCUCUCAUUUUCGGACCCGGUUUCUCCAUUCGGUCGCCGGUUGUAUAGUAAAAGUCCAGAAAGCUGCGCCAACAAAAUUUCGGAUUCAUUCCGAGUUGGAGUCGGAUUUUUUAUAACGUCAUUCGGAUAUUUUGGAUGAAACUUUUUUGUUUUUGUAAUAUUCGUGAAUGGCGGUCAAAACUAGAGAUUAUUAUGUCAUUCUCAGAUCUCAUAUUUGAAAUCGUACUUUUGAUCUCAUGGGCGGUUCCCUUUUUUAUUCGAAUUUGAAUUUUGCCGUUUAAUUAAUUAAGAGAGCCAUCUAGCGGUAAUAAUUGACUUCAUGAUUUAAUUGGUGACAAAAAAGCAAAAAAGGAAUAGAGAGAGUCAUGCAACAUUGUACGACAAUAACUUGGCGCUUAAAAUCAUGUGGUGCAAAAUUUGCAUAAAUUUCCGGUGCUCCAUACUGAAACCACAGCUGAAACUUUUCUUUUUUCUUCUUUAGCACACUAUUGUUCGAACGAGUUGCAAGUUUGCAACGUGGUCGUUGUUCUCAGUACUCUAUUGUGCUGAAACUAGAUAAAGAUAGUAAUAUGUAAGUGUGUGAGGGAAUUUUGUGCCAUUCCAACAUGUGGUCAGGUCUGUCCUUUAAACAAUUGUAUCAACAUGAUGCUGAAAAAUCUUGUUGAGCCAUGCACGUGUUGAGUUUGUGCGAUGAAAAACUUGAGAUGAGUGGAAAACUAGAUGUGUGUAUUGAGACUUGAGAAUUCCCUUCACGUCAGUGACUAAAAUUCACUAAUUUUACUAUUGCUGCAACAUGGUGGUCAACUCUUCAUCAAAUUCCAUCCCUUCUUCCAGAGGCUUCAGUGAAAUCCACUUCAAGAUCGAAAACCAAGUAGAAUGUUAACAGCAGCAUUUUCCCCAUCAUUCUCAUUCGAAAAAGAUAAUGAGCUCCUAGUUUAAUUGGAAAAACUUUGUCCUCGUGUACACCCAUGUGAGUGUGGGGGUAUUCACGAGGGCCCCUUUUCCUAUCCUGCUGCCUGGCGUCAACUUUACUGGGGAUGGAGCACUUGUGGAUGCUUGGCUGUGGAUUUCCCAGGCAUAAAAGGU